rfam:Camponotus floridanus CamFlo_1.0_2.contig175, whole genome shotgun sequence.
CCAACGGCCCUUUUCAGGGCCAUGUAAAUAGAAAAUUGUAGAAUA